UGUCCAUCCAAUCAUAGAUGUAGGAUCAAAUAAUUAACCUAUUGUAUUGGGAUUGUGCCACGGAGCAUCAUGGGGGUUCAGAACUCCUGUGUUAAGAACUCCUUUCAUUAUCUGGGGUAAACAGAAAGGUGCAAAUUAAAAGCAAGGGUAGACAUUUGCCUGAGAUCAGUUUCAUGAAGAAGGAUGAAAAGACAAGUCCCCUCAUGUUCCAUGAUUUAGAGGUGAUGACUACUCACUCCCAUUGUCAACUUUCUCUUGACAUGAACUGAAGACACGAUGUAUCAUAUGCCCGCUCAUCCACUGGCACAUUGAGUGUUUCCCCUCCACGCACUUAAAAUUCGGUCCUGCACUGGUCAAGCCUCUGAACACCUCAACUCACACCUCAUACCCUCCUUCAAUCACUGCUGUGAUCCCUUUCCAACACUAAGUAUCCUUCUCAUUCCCAUUCCACAUAAUGCUGUACUAUACAUGUCUUUAUUAAAUGCUUCAGG